GAUCUAGCUCAGUUGGCUAGAGCAUGGUGCUGAUAAUGUCAAGGUCACAGGUUUGAUCCCCAUGUGGGACA